rnacentral:rRNA from 1 species
UGAGCAAUCUGCCCUUCUCAUCGGAAUAAGCGUUGGAAACGACGUCUAAUGCCGAAUACGACCUCCUUUCGCAUGAUCGGAGGUGGAAAGGUCCGCCGGAGAGGGAUGGGCCCGCGGCCUAUCAGCUUGUUGGUGAGGUAACGGCUCACCAAGGCUACGACGGGUAGCUGGUCUGAGAGGACGACCAGCCACACUGGAACUGAGAUACGGUCCAGACUCCGUACGGGAGG